UGGGGAAUAUUGGACAAUGGGCGCAAGCCUGAUCCAGCCAUGCCGCGUGAGUGAUGAAGGCCCUAGGGUUGUAAAGCUCUUUCACCGGUGAAGAUAAUGACGGUAACCGGAGAAGAAGCCCCGGCUAACUUCGUGCCAGCAGCCGCGGUAAUACGAAGGGGGCUAGCGUUGUUCGGAUUUACUGGGCGUAAAGUGCACGUAGGCGGACUUUUAAGUCAGGGGUGAAAUCCCGGGGCUCAACCCCGGAACUGCCUUUGAUACUGGAAGUCUGGAGUAUGGUAGAGGUGAGUGGAAUUCCGAGUGUAGAGGUGAAAUUCGUAGAUAUUCGGAGGAACACCAGUGGCGAAGGCGGCUCACUGGACCAUUACUGACGCUGAGGUGCGAAAGCGUGGGGAGCAAACAGG
rnacentral:rRNA from 1 species